rnacentral:rRNA from 1 species
UACGUAGGGUGCGAGCGUUAAUCGGAAUUACUGGGCGUAAAGCGUGACGCAGGCGGUUCUAUAAGACAGAAUGUGAAAUCCCCGGGCUUAACCCUGGGAAUUGCAUUUGUGACUGUAGAGCUAGAGUACGGCAGAGGGGGAUGGAAUUCCGCGUGUAGCAGUGAAUGACGUAGAUAUGCGGAGGAACACCGAUGGCGAAGGCAAUCCCCUGGGCCUGUACUGACGCUCAUGCACGAAAGCGUGGGGAGCAAACAGG